rnacentral:tmRNA from 1 species
GGGGCUGAUUCUGGAUUCGACAGAGUUUGCGAAGCAAGGAUUGCAUGCCGAGGCGGUUGGCCUCGUAAAGCCUUUACCAAAAAUAGUCGCAAACGACGAAAACUACGCUUUGGCAGCUUAAUAACCUGCCAGAGCCCUCUCUCCCUAGCCUCCGCUUUCUUAGGACGAGUUCAAGAGGUCAAACCCAAAAGAGAUCGCGCGGAUGCCCUGCACAGGUUGAAGCGUUAAAAUAUCGACUGGUCUGGUAGUGGCGUGAUAGAUCGCAAUUGCCGGGCGAAUGUAAAGACGACUAGCAUGUAGUACCGAGGAUGUAGGGCACGGACGCGGUUCCAGCUUUCCCGCCAGCUCCC